GAAAGAAAAAGAGUGGCGAACGGGUGAGUAACACGUGGGUAACCUGCCCAUCAGAAGGGGAUAACACUUGGAAACAGGUGCUAAUACCGUAUAACACUAUUUUCCGCAUGGAAGAAAGUUGAAAGGCGCUUUUGCGUCACUGAUGGAUGGACCCGCGGUGCAUUAGCUAGUUGGUGAGGUAACGGCUCACCAAGGCCACGAUGCAUAGCCGACCUGAGAGGGUGAUCGGCCACACUGGGACUGAGACACGGCCCAGACUCCUACGGGAGGCAGCAGUAGGGAAUCUUCGGCAAUGGACGAAAGUCUGACCGAGCAACGCCGCGUGAGUGAAGAAGGUUUUCGGAUCGUAAAACUCUGUUGUUAGAGAAGAACAAGGAUGAGAGUAGAACGUUCAUCCCUUGACGGUAUCUAACCAGAAAGCCACGGCUAACUACGUGCCAGCAGCCGCGGUAAUACGUAGGUGGCAAGCGUUGUCCGGAUUUAUUGGGCGUAAAGCGAGCGCAGGCGGUUUCUUAAGUCUGAUGUGAAAGCCCCCGGCUCAACCGGGGAGGGUCAUUGGAAACUGGGAGACUUGAGUGCAGAAGAGGAGAGUGGAAUUCCAUGUGUAGCGGUGAAAUGCGUAGAUAUAUGGAGGAACACCAGUGGCGAAGGC
rnacentral:rRNA from 1 species